rnacentral:tRNA from 1 species
UCCCUCGAGCCGGAUUUGAACCAGCGACCUAAGGAUCACCGUUGUAACAUCUACAGUCCUCUGCUCUGCCAACUGAGCUAUCGAGGG